AUGCAGCUCUCCAGUCUGCUCUGGGUGUUCCUGGCCUUCACCUUCUCUGGAUCUGGUGUGGCCCAGAAAGUUACUCAAGACCAGUCAGAUGUAUCCAGCCAAGUGGGACAGUCAGUCACCCUGAAUUGUCGGUAUGAAACAAGUUGGGGUGCUUACUACCUUUUUUGGUACAAGCAACUUCCCAGUGGACAGAUGACUUACCUUAUUCAACAGUAUUCAGGAUACAGCAAUGCAAGGAACGGCCGCUACUCUGUAAACUUCCAGAAAGCAGAUAAAUCCAUCAGCCUCAUCAUUUCAUCCUUACAGCUGGAAGAUUCUGCAAAGUACUUCUGUGCUCUCCCAGUUUCAGGAGAGCAGAAGGGUUUCUAUGUAGAGGAUCAUACUGACAAGCUCACCUUUGGAAAAGGGACCCGCCUCAUCGUGGAACCAAAAAGUCAACCUGCUGCCAGCCCAUCUGUUUUUGUCAUGAAAAAUGGGACAAACGUCGCUUGUUUGGUGAAGGAGUUCUACCCCAAAGAUAUAACUAUAAGUCUGCAAUCAUCCAAGAAAAUAAUAGAAUAUGAGCCUGCUAUUGUCGUCUCACCUGGGGGGAGGUACAGUGCUGUCAAGCUUGGUCAGUACGAAGAUCCCGAUUCAGUGACAUGUUCAGUUGAACACAACAAAAAAACCUGGCACUCUUCUGACUUUGAACCAAAGAAAGAUAUUUCAGAAACAACUCCAAAACCGAAGGAAUCUGAAAACAGCACAGAAAUUCAAGUUUCAACGACCUGCUAUGAGCCCCAAGUGCAACCUGGGAAGGUGAACAUGAUGUCCCUCUCGGUGCUGGGGCUCCGAAUGCUGUUUGCCAAGAGUGUCGCCGUCAAUUUUCUCUUUACUGCCAAGUUAUUUUUCUUUUAAGUUUUCCUUCAUUUGCAGGCUGACUGGCAUGAGAAGGCUGCAUUCCCUGAAAGAAACCAAAAGCCUACAGAGAAGCUAUCUCCUAGGCUUUCAACUUUUUGGUGAUUCAAGUUGACCCAUCCCAGCCUUGCUUAAAUGGCUGCUCCCCAAACUGGUUUUCCUUUAAAGGCAACAAACCCAGCUUAUCCUUCAGCCUGAUGAAAGACAGAAGUCCUGGGGAGUGGGGGCUUAUAGCCCCAACUGUUUUAUAUGCUGCUUUAUAAAGGGAUAAGAGAUAUGAAGGUAUA